GACACAACCACAGCAGCUGUAGUUGGCCUCGUGAGUCUGGAGCUAAACAAAGUGGUGCAGGAACACCGGCAGCUUGAAUCUUACAAGAACAGCUUCAUGAACGUGGCCCUGCCCUUCCUCAGCUUCUCUGAACCCCUUGCCCCACCCCGUCACCAGCACUAUAACCAAGAGCGGAAGUUGUGGGAUUGCUUUGAUGUACGCGGCUACAGCCUAAUGGUGAAGAGAUGACUCUCAAACAGUUCCUUAACUACUUUAAGACAGAGCACAAAUUAGAGAUUACCAUGCUGUCCCAAGGUGUAUCCAUGCUGUGCUCCUUUUUCAUGCCAGCUACCAAACUCAGGGAAUGGUUGGAUCAGCCGUGAGUUGGCCGCUGGGCAGGCUGAGGAAGGCCCUGUGUGGGGUGGGAAGCCUUACUACUUAAUGUUCAUGGUUAUCCCUAUCUUCUUCACCUCCAUGUAUGUAUCCUCUCUUGCUUUCUCCUCCCUGACCCUCUUCUCCCUCUUCCCAGGAUGACAGAAAUUGUGAGCCAUGGGUCAAAGCAAAAGCUGGGCCACCAUGUGCGGGCGCUGGUGCUUGAGCUGUGCUGCAAUGAUGAGGCUGGCGAGGAUGCUGAGGUCCCCUGUGUACAAUACACCAUCCGCUGACUCUCCAGUCCCCAAACUGUUUAGUUUCAGAUCCCUUCUAGUUGUGGCAAAACACGUGCCUAGCCAGGCACAUAAGCUUUACAUCCUUUUGAGAACCUUUUUUUUGUGGUUGCUUUCUACUGUUUAGAAUUGGAAUGGCUAAUAAAGACUUAUUAAUGCAAAA